rnacentral:misc_RNA from 1 species
GAAAUGCGAUAAGUAAUGUGAAUUGCAGAAUUCCGUGAAUCAUCGAAUCUUUGAACGCACAUUGCGCCCUCUGGUAUUCCGGGGGGCAUGCCUGUCCGAGCGUCAUUGCGAACCCCUCAAGCAUGGCUUGUGUGAUGGGCCCUCCCGCGUCUUGGUCGUCAAGACGGGCCCGAAAUGCAGUGGCGGCUUCGCGGUUAUCCGAUCAGCCAGAGCGUAUGGGGACUUUCUCUCUGUCACACGCCCGCGGCGCGGACCGACGCCUGUCGACCUUCAUUCAUCGUUUUCUCGGUUGACCUCGGAUCAGGUAGGGAUACCCGCUGAACUUAAGC